GACGAUUAUAUCACGUUGAAAUACCGGUUCUCAUACGAUCUCUGAAGUUAAGCAACGUCGAGCCAACUCAGUACCUAGAAGGGUGAUCGCUUGGGAAUACCAGAUGUUGUAAG